rnacentral:lncRNA from 1 species
GGAGGUGAUGACUUACCCUUUUAUAAUAUAUUAUAUAACCAUGUACAAUAAAAUAAAUCUAUAAUGAAGUGUAAUGGAAAAGCGGAACAUGUCCGUCUUGAUGCUACUCUAUAAAUAUAUCUAUAUUAGGAUUGUACAAGGGACGAACUAGCUAUGUUGUAUAUGACCCGAACCUGGUUCUAACACUAACUCAAGACAAAUUUUCGACAUGAAAUCGACCCUAAACUCUGUCAAAAUUGAUGAGGUACGUGUCAGAUAAGGAUGAGACAAUACCAAGACAAGAUCAGGUUGGUCCAAGUCAAAAUCACCUGUACAUCAAGUCAAAAUUGAUGAGGUACGUGACUGAUACGAUUUGGAUUUGAAUUUACUUAUGAUUCUAAGUAGUAUAUCUUCGAUUGAGUUUUGAUGAUACGUAUUUUGAAAUAAGUUUCGUUAUGUUGUAAUAUAUGGUUUUAGCAUUGUGAUUUAAGAAUGAUGUUUUGAAAAUUAUGGUUAUAAUGGCGACGGCUUAGGUGCACCUAGUAUGUGAAUUCAAUUAGGUAUAGUUACCCCGUUAGAUGGAGCCGCCCCUAUGGAAAGGCCGUCAUUAGGAGGAGAGGGCUAUCAAUAAGAGGUAAACUCCCUAAUUUAAAAUGUUUUACACUUGUUUUGAGUCGAGAGAAAAGAUCUACCCGUUAGAUGGAGCCGCCCAUAUGGAAAGGACACCAUUAGGAGGAUAGGGCUAUCAACGAGAUGGAGCUAGUUCUCGAUUCACCCAUUUUGAUUAUUUUUACUAAAUGGAGUUUUCUAUAUUUUCUUUAAAGACUUUUAUCAAGAUUUUCGACAAUAUAUUUUUAAAGGCUUUUGUUAUGAUUUUCGGCGAUAUAUUUUCUAUAGGCUUGUAAUCUUAUUUUCACAUCUUUACAACAUUGAGAUUAGAAAUACUCUUAUUCAUGAUGUUGAUUUCACGUACAAUGAUUGAUAGUAAAUUAGCAAGUGUACUAAUUUGAAUCGAGUAAUAAAAUAAUUCUUUUCCUCAGGGACUGUUUUAAUCUCUACUUAACAAGAACAUUAUCAUUAAGAUGUAAUUAAAUUGGGGGUUGCCUUAGGCAAAUUGGUUUUGUGUGCAAUUGUGAUUCAAUUGACGAAAGUGACGGUGGUUUUUGAAAUAUUUUAGAGAGAUGACUAGGUCAUUCGAAUCAUCUGCAAUUCACUCAAUGGGCAACCUGGUUCUUAUGUCUACGAACGUCACAAAGUAAAUGAUGAAUCAACACAUUAACUUAGGUCAAUUCCUUGAUCCUAAGUCUGCUUAUCUAAUCAUAAUUCCCUAAUCCCUUAGGUGAACCUAUAAUUGUCAAAGGAUAUUAAGUCCGUUAAUUCAAUGAUCUCAACCUAACAACUCUCAAUCCCUAGAUUGUCUGUUAGACUGAAAAGCAUAAAUAGAUCCGAGUUACACGCUACGGUCAAUAGUCAUAUAAUCUCUUAAAUCAAUUAUAUUGGGUCAGAAUCAUAAAAGCAUUAAGAACAAGAUAUACUGAAUAAACUAGAUUGACAUUCAUAAACGUAAGAGUUUCAGGUUACAACCACAUGAGCUAUUACAUAAUCAUCUCUUGACCUAAUCACAAAGGACUUAGCUACUCAUGGCUAAAACAUAAAUAACUAAUGAUAAAGAAGAAUUCAUUACAUGAAAUUGAUAACUGGCUAUGAGUUUUGAUGGUCUCCCACCUUUUGCUCAGUGAUCCAGCUCCAAAAGUAUGAUUUUCUCUCCAAAAAUUCGAACCCUUCCUCCAGAAAUCGAUUUCCUUUUUGUAGGACAUUUAACAGAAACGCUAAAAUCGUACUCCGAUGCUCCAGAUCGGAGCACGAUGGCCCAGUCAACACAAAACUAACAUAGAAGCGUCUUCAAAAUCGUAGCCCGAUUUUGGGAAAUCAGACUCCGAUUUUUUACGAGACAACAUGUCUCACUUAAGCUGCACAAUCAUACUACGAUGUCACCAAAUCGUAGUACGAUUUUUCUCCUCUUCAGAAUUACAAAACAGCCAUUUUUUUCAGCUUCUGACUCAUGCAUAAUCACCUGAACUUAACCAAAACUACAUAAAAACUAUAACAAAAUGAUGUAUGACCUAAUGUCAUCAAUGAUACAAAGUAAUUGCAAGCAGAAAUAUUAAUGUUGCUUCUAAAUGUUAGAUAUGUGAUGGCUUGUAGUAAGGUUAUACGAAAAGGAUAAACUCACAAUUUAAAAGGUGUUAUAAAAAUUUCGCUAAUAAUUUAGUUCAUUUUAUUACAGUUUGGUUAAACAAGCUAAGAGCAACAUAUUUGUUAUGUCGGCGACAUUGGAUUAAGAAAUAUUCCUAUUUGAUUUUGGAUUAAUAGAAUUUUAUACGGUUAUUAGUUUUGUAAAUGAACAUUAGAUUUUGAGAAACUUAAUUACUCGUGUCCAUGUGUGUUUCCCUUAUAGUUGGUGGUGAUUGUUGUCUCCUCACUAAGUCUUUAUGACUUACCCCUUCUUCUUACAUUUUUUCAGAUUCAAAGUCAAGUGCGUAGAAAGCUUGUAGUAGAGUUAAACAUCUGUCAAUGUCAUCCUUUUGGGUAGGUCUCCUCUAUGUAUAAACUGAAUGGUGUAUGUAGCUGCAGCUAUUGGUAGUCGACAAAUGUUUUGUUUUGAGUUGUAUAAACAUCUAGUUAUGUCACUUUGAGAUUCUGCUGAUAAUACAAGUAUAUAGACAAGAUUCAUAUCUUGGAAAGUAUUCAAAAUAUAGAGGAUACUAUGUCAAAAUUUCAGUGGAUAUCAUUACAAGUGAAAGUCAAUUUGAAAAUUGUUUAAAUUAUAGUUUGUCAAGGGUCG